rnacentral:rRNA from 1 species
UGAUACGUCAUAUCUUGAGUGAGGAAGAGGGUCGUGGAAUUCCCAGUGUAGAGGUGAAAUUCGUAGAUAUUGGGAAGAACACCGGUGGCGAAGGCGGUGACCUGGUCCUUUACUGACGCUGAGGCGCGAAAGCGUGGGGAGCAAACAGGA